AUUGAACGCUGGCGGCAGGCUUAACACAUGCAAGUCGAGCGGGGUGAUGGUGCUUGCACUAUCACUUAGCGGCGGACGGGUGAGUAAUGCUUAGGAAUCUGCCUAUUAGUGGGGGACAACAUCUCGAAAGGGAUGCUAAUACCGCAUACGUCCUACGAGAGAAAGCAGGGGAUCACUUGUGACCUUGCGCUAAUAGAUGAGCCUAAGUCGGAUUUGCUAGUUGGUGGGGUAAAGGCCUACCAAGGCGACGAUCUGUAGCGGGUCUGAGAGGAUGAUCCGCCACACUGGGACUGAGACACGGCCCAGACUCCUACGGGAGGCAGCAGUGGGGAAUAUUGGACAAUGGGGGGAACCCUGAUCCAGCCAUGCCGCGUGUGUGAAGAAGGCCUUAUGGUUGUAAAGCACUUUAAGCGAGGAGGAGGCUCUUUUGGUUAAUACCCAAGAUGAGUGGACGUUACUCGCAGAAUAAGCACCGGCUAACUCUGUGCCAGCCGCCGCUGUAA
rnacentral:rRNA from 1 species